CCCUUAACCAACAGUGCAGUUCAAGAAGAAGAAAAUAUUUACCAAGGAGACUAAAAUACAAAGUUAUAAUAAAAAGUAACACAAUAAGAACAACAAUAAUGAGGUUAAAUACAGGGGGAACCGGUACCGAGCCAGUGUGGAGGUUAUAUACAGGGGGUACCGGUACAGAGUCAAUGUGGAGGUUAUAUACAGGGGGUACUGGUACAGAGUCAAUGUGGAGGCUAUAUACAGGGGGUACUGGUACAGAGUCAAUGUGGAGGCUAUAUACAGGGGGUCCUGGUACAGAGUCAAUGUGGAGGCUAUAUACAGGGGGUACCGGUACAGAGUCAGUGUGGAGGUUAUAUACAGGGGGUACCGGUACAGAGUCAAUGUGGAGGCUAUAUACAGGGGGUCCUGGUACAGAGUCAAUGUGGAGGCUAUAUACAGGGGGUACCGGUACAGAGUCAAUGUGGAGGCUAUAUACAGGGGGUCCUGGUACAGAGUCAAUGUGGAGGUUAUAUACAGGGGGUACCGGUACAGAGUCAAUGUGGAGGCUAUAUACAGGGGUACUGGUACAGAGUCAAUGUGGAGGCUAUAUACAGGGGGUCCUGGUACAGAGUCAAUGUGGAGGCUAUAUACAGGGG
ensembl:lncRNA